UACGUAGGCAGCGAGCGUUGUUCGGAGUUACUGGGCGUAAAGGGUGCGUAGGCGGUUGUUUAAGUUUGGUGUGAAAUCUCCCGGCUCAACUGGGAGGGUGCGCCGAAUACUGAAUGACUAGAGUGCGGGAGAGGAGAGUGGAAUUCCUGGUGUAGCGGUGAAAUGCGUAGAUAUCAGGAGGAACACCGGUGGUGUAGACGGCUCUCUGGACCGUAACUGACGCUGAGGCACGAAAGCGUGGGGAGCGAACAGG
rnacentral:rRNA from 1 species